GUACUGCAGGCAUCACAGUUUCGCUUGGUUUCUUGUAUUUCAUUUUUGUUUUUGGUGACGAACUUCACAGCCGCCUCUCCCUCUUUCCUUCUCACCUCCUCGUCUUGCCGUCAUUCUCCGCUCCCCCCUCCCAUACGUGCAUGCCUCGAUGUUGUUGUUCUCGGCUGGUCAAGGCAGAAUGCGGCUAACACUCCCAUUCAUGUCUGGCCGGCGCGCCGCUGCGACGCUGUCGCUGCUGCAGCUCCUUCUUGUCCUCGUCCUAGCACUUGCUGCGUUCCAGGCGACGGCGGCUGAAGCGGUCAGGGGUGCUAGGCGCACUUUCGCGAGCGAUGCGGACGACAGUAUGAUAGUGGAGGAGUCAGACGAGAACCUUGACGCGUCUGGCUGGGUGUCGCUGAUUGUUGUAGACUCCAUCCUCUUGCUGUUUGCCGCCCUCUUCGCUGGCCUGACGCUGGCGUUGCUCGGCCUCGACACACUGUCGCUCGAGAUUAUUGCGGAUAGCGGCUCCGAGCCGGACAAGACGUACGCACAGAAGAUUUUGCCCAUCCGUCACCUCGGUAACCAGCUCCUGUGCACGCUUAUUUUGGGCAACGUAAUGGUGAACACCCUCAUUGCGCAGAUCACCGACUCGCACAUCCACGGCUGGGUGGCGACGGUGGUCUCCACCGCGCUGACAACGCUCGGCGGCGAGGUGAUUCCGCAAGCCCUCAUGUCCGCGCACGCGCUGCAGGUCGGCUCCAAGUCGGCGCCGCUCGUGAAGUUCUUCGUGUUCAUCUUCUGGCCUGUGUGCAAGCCUCUGAGCAUGAUUCUUGACAAGUUCAUUGGCAAGGACCCUGGCCAGAUUUACGAGCGAAACGAGCUCAAGAAGCUAAUGUUCAUGCAUGCCGCCCGCAGCGCCGAGUCCGGCAUUGGCGCCGGCGAGGUCGAUCUUAUGGUUGGAGCCAUGGAGCUGCACGAGAAGACGGUGAUGGAGGUGAUGACGCCGGUGAGUGAUAUGCUGAUGCUGGAGGCGAAUGAGCGGCUGAACGAGGAGACGAUUCAGCUGAUCUCCGACCGCGGCCACAGCCGAAUUCCGGUGUACCAGACCACAAAGAACAACGUCAUUGGCGUGCUGUUCGCAAAGGACUUGCUUAUGGCCAACCCGCAAGAGAACACGAAGGUGCUUCUGCUGGUGAAGUUCUACAACCGCCGCUGCCACGUUGUGCCCUCUGAAACAAAACUGAUCUCGAUGCUCAAGUACUUUCAAACCGGCAAGUCACACAUUGCCCUCGUGCAGGAGGUGCAGCAGCGCCCCUACGGGGACCCGUACUACGAGGUGAAGGGACUUGUGACCAUGGAGGACAUCAUCGAGGAGCUUAUCCACAGCGAGAUCUUUGACGAGUAUGACAUUGACCCGCAUCAGAUUCAGCAUACAGCGCUUGGCAACGCCUCUAAUCUGGCGAAGCGGCAGAUCGGCCUCACCUCCAAGUGCUCGCGGCGCGUCCACCUGAACUACAACGAGCUGCGUGCCGCUGCUCUCUUUCUGUGCGAGUCACUGCCCGAGCUCAGCAUGGAGGAUGUAUCGGCACUGAUGCAAGGCAUGAUGGAGUGCACCACCGUAUACCGCGUCCGGGCACCGAAGGACUCACGCGGCAUGGCUGACGACGACAAGCAGAACGUGUGGCUUUAUCGAGAGGGUGUGCCGUCGUCCGUGUUCACCCUCGUCGUGUCGGGACGUGUUGAAGUGUUUGCGGGAAAGGACUCGAUCGCGCUGGAGAUGGGCAGCUGGUCACUUCUGGCGACCGAUGCCCUUUCCUCUGACUUGUUUGUGCCCACAUUUAGCUGCCGUGUUGUUCAGGACUCAACACUCAUGCAGAUUACGCGGGAGGCCUACGUUGAGAUGCUGCGCAUAUGCAAUAACCCUGCAAGCGACACCUCGAGGACCGCCUCGUCGGCGGCGAAUGCGGAGCGCAAGGCGUCCAUGGAAUCUAUCUGAAAGAGGAGGAGAAAACAAAAGGAGAAGACACAUAGAGCAGGGAAGGCGAUCCGAGUUUGCACGCUGGCGUGUGCCGGGCCUUCUCCAUCUCGAUACUUAUACGCGCGCGACGAUGCUCCCUUGUUCUUCGCUCGCUUGUUGGUUGCUUGGUGCGAUCGAUUUGACAUCACCGCAGAGAUGCGUUUUUUUUAUCGGCUUCUUUUUUUUGCGUUAAUGUUCCCCUUUGCACCGUUACUGCGUUGUUGUCUUCUGCCCUGCAUAUGCGCGUAGGCUUUCGGUUGGGCGCCCACCACGUGUGUGCCCGUCUGUGUGUCUCUCUCUGUGCGUGUGCGCACGUGCGGAUGCAUGUGUCUCAUUGCAUCGCCGUCGUCUUUGCCGCCCUCCUCUUCAGUGGCAGCACCGCAGCCCUCAUGUGUUUUUCUUUGUCGCUUUCACUCUGCCCUCCACCGCAGCAGGCUCUACCGACUCUCCUCACGCGUUUUACCACGAAGGACGCCUGCCCGUCCUUGAUUGAUAUUGAAUGCGACACUCCACUCUACAAGAAGGGGGAGGGGGUGCACAGCAGCGAACGAAGAGGGAAGAGGGGUGGUGGUGGUGAGGGGGGACUGCGCCUCAUUUCGAGUGGUGGAGAGUUGGCGGCGAGGGUGCACGGAAGCCCACAAACUGAGGUGUAUAAGAGGAAAGCAGAAGGAGAUGAUAAGCGCGACGAUACACCAGGGCUGACUUGCGACGGCAUGCGUCUCGCAGCUCGUUUGCUUACUCCCUUUUUUGUCCUGCUUUUGCUCUGCGGCCUGCUUCUCGAUCUGUUCGACUCUAUCGCACGUCUUUCUACGCAUGCGCGCGCGAGAGUAGCAUCAUGGAUAGGAGUGGGGUGCUAUGAAAAGCACGCAGCGGUGCGUCUGCGCAUGUGUGCGUGCCCAGUGUUGAUCAAAGGCGCUUCGCUCCCUCACCUUUUCUCUGCCGCUCAG
rnacentral:misc_RNA from 1 species